rnacentral:rRNA from 1 species
ACGAACGUUGGCGGCGUGGAUUAGGCAUGCAAGUCGUGGGAAUCCCCAGCAAUGGGGGGUAACCGGCGUAAGGGGCAGUAAUGCGUGGGUGACCUACCCUGGGGUUGGGCAUAGCCCGUAGAAAUACGGGGUAAUUCCCGACGAUGUCGCAAGACCAAAGCUCAGGCGCCCCGGGAGGGGCCCACGUGAUAUUAGCUAGUUGGUGAGGUAACGGCUCACCAAGGCAUAGAUGUCUAGCGGGUGUGAGAGCACGACCCGCGCCACUGGCACUGAGACACUGGCCAGACACCUACGGGUGGCUGCAGUCGAGGAUCUUCGGCAAUGGGCGCAAGCCUGACCGAGCGACGCCGCGUGUGCGACGAAGGCCUUCGGGUUGUAAAGCACUGUCGAGGGGGAGAAAGCGCAAGCUUGAUCUAUCCCUGGAGGAAGCACGGGCUAAGUUCGUGCCAGCCGCCGCGGUAAU